rnacentral:rRNA from 1 species
GCUAAAAACCUAGCCCCUCCUCCCCCCCCCCCCAUGAACCUAAAGAAUUAAAUUCAUUAAUUAAAACAUUCUCAUGUAUUAGUAAAGGCGAUUGAAAAUUAAUAAGAGCUAUAGAAAUAGUACCGCAAGGGAAAGGUGAAAUAAAAAUGAAAUAAAUUUUAAGCACAGUAAAGUAGAGAUUAACCCUCGUACCUUUUGCAUCAUGGUUUAAUUAGUCUAAUCAAGCAAAACGACUUAUAGUUUGACUUCCCGAAACCAAGCGAGCUACUUCAGGGCAGCUUUUAUGAGCAAACCCGUCUCUGUUGCAAAAGAGUGGGAAGACCCUUAAGUAGCGGUGACAGACCUAACGAGCUUGGUGAUAGCUGGUUACUCAAGAAAAGAAUUUUAGUUCGACCUAAAGAUUAACAAAUAAUUUUAAAUAAACUUCUUUAGAGCAAUUCAAAUAAGGUACAGCUUGUUUGAAACAGGAUACAACCUAGACCGAAGGGUAAUUAUUUCUUUUAAUAAUAAAGUAGGCUUAAGAGCAGCCAUCUUUAAAAUAGCGUCAAAGCUUUAUUAUAUAAAUGCCCAAUACCAUAAAUUAUCUAAAACCCUCCACCAUUAUUGAGUACUUCUAUAUUCUUAUAGAAUUUUUGAUGUUAAAACUAGUAACAAGGAGAAGACCUCCUCUUAAUGCAAGUGUAAAUCAUAAAGGACACACCAAUGACUAUUAACAUCCAUGAAAACAAAUUAGCAACUCCGCAAGAAAAGCCUACUUUAUAUUAUGUUAAUCUAACACAAGAGCAUUACAAGAAAGAUUAAAAGAAAAAGAAGGAACUCGGCAAAAAUUAACCUCGCCUGUUUACCAAAAACAUCGCCUCUUGACUAAAUAUAAGAGGUCCAGCCUGCCCAGUGACUCUGUUCAACGGCCGCGGUAUCCUAACCGUGCGAAGGUAGCGUAAUCACUUGUCCUUUAAAUGGGGACUAGUAUGAACGGCAUCACGAAGGUUACACUGUCUCCUUUUUCCAAUCAGUGAAUCUAAUCUCCCCGUGAAGAAGCGGGGAUAAAACUAUAAGACGAGAAGACCCUAUGGAGCUUUAAACUAAGUAACAAUUGCUUAUAUAUUUCCUCAUUUCAGAAUAUCUACACUUAUACUAGCUACAUGUCUACUAGUUUUAGGUUGGGGUGACCGCGGAGUAAAAAAUAACCUCCACAUUGAAUGGAACUUGAUUCCUGAGUUACGGGCUACAACCCUAAACACCAAUAAAUUGACAUCAAUUGACCCAAUACUUUGAUCAACGAACCAAGUUACCCUAGGGAUAACAGCGCAAUCCACUUUAAGAGCUCCUAUCGACAAGUGGGUUUACGACCUCGAUGUUGGAUCAGGGUAUCCCAGUGGUGCAGCCGCUACUAAAGGUUCGUUUGUUCAACGAUUAAAACCCU